GCCCGCUUGGCUCAGUGGUAAAGCGUGUCGCUAUUAAUGACAAGGUCGUCGGUUCGAUUAUGUUAGUGGGCA